UCUUUCUUCUCCCCCGCAGCCUCGCUAUCUUCGUCUUCGUUGCAAGCUGCAGCCUGCAGUACAGACCUCGUGUUCAAGUACGAGGGGUCCUCCGGAAAAUUUCUAGUAGCAUUUUAGAAUCGCCGAGGGGUCCUGGGACCUCCCAGGUUCCUCUGUAGAUCCGUCUCUGCUUAUAACACAUUUUCAUCAUUUUCGUUAAAACUCAAAAUUUUCAAACUUUUUUCAUUAGUUUUUCUUUAAAUUUAUGAGACCUUCAUUUUCAUCUCAUGUUACCAAAACACAAGACGAUAAACUCGAUGUCCUGACCAAUAAACCCCUUCCUUCUAACCCUAUUUUCCUUUCUAGCGCAUAUCUUCACCACCGCACAACAAACUACUCUCUCUCUCUCUCUCUUUCUCUCUCGCUCUCUCAUCUGAUCGAUCUGUCUUGAAUCGUGGUGUCCUAAUCUUAGCUAGACAAACCGAUAAAUUUACACAGGCCUCUAGCUACAAGCUAAGAUGCAUAAAUAUCACAAUUAGUUCGAGCUCAGGAUUAAAGGUGGAUCGGAGGCAUGGAAAACGCUCGCUUCCUUCAGAAGCAUCAGAGGAGAAAGAGAGGGAGGGUCGUCCCCACCACCAUGAUCUCCCUUCUGACUACGAAUCUUCCUGGACGGAAGCUGGCAUGUCAGCCAUGGUUUCUGCUCUCACUCAAGAUUGGAACCACCGAAGAUCAUGCUACCGUGAAACCAAACCCUACGUUCAUCUCAGAUUCAUCACUCCUAGUCAAACAAGAACCCGACCGCUCUCAACCGGUUCAAGAUCAAGGCAAGUCACCACUUAAGCCAUAUUAUAUUGUAUUAACGGAUGGAUUAUUACCAGAACUACUAAGUCAGCGACAGCUCCCAACGCGAGGCCGGUUUCAAAGAGGCAUACUCGUACAUGUGCCUGCGGCCCCAUGUCUCCAUCUACAAAAGUCUUACAUGGAAUCGAACUACUUGUAAGAAGGUGAAGAAUGGAAUGUAAGUACCCACCACAACCUGACCAAGCAAAGCAACAUCCAUACAAUAAAAUAAUGAGUUGCAUCACAUUAAUUAGUCGCACACGCAUACCUGAAUAAGUUUGAUAAAAUUUGAUAAUUAAUUCAUAUAUAUAUAAAAUAAUUAUAAUUUGUUCAACGAUCAGAUAUCACUUACGCUCUCACAACUAAGUUUAACAAAACUUAAAUGAGGUCGUUAUCAAGAGGACACAGUAAUACAGUUUAAGACGAGGGUCGUAGAAGCCUCGACAAGAAUUUGAUACCGACCCCAAAGUCUAUAGGAACAUUUUGGCAUGCAUGCUUAUUGUUCUAUUUAUUUUAUUAGGGGAAGUUUCUCUUUAUUAUUUCAAUCUGUAAGUUAUAUGGGGGCACUUGUUUGGACUUUGGAGGGAGAAUAUACAUCUGUAUUAGGUUAGGGAGAAGCUGAGCACGAGCGUGAAGAGGUGAAAAGGAUCUGAUAAUACAGUGAGAGAAAAAGUAAUUAUUGAGGUGAGCAGAAUCUUUAAGAGAAAGAAUCUUUAUUUUUUUCAAAAUGAGGAUUAGUGUUGGGACUUAUACCAAAUCGAACUUUAACGAUCCAAAUUAUUUAUUUUUCAAGUUGCACUUCAUAGAUCAUUUUUGCAAAAUAUUAGCCAAAUCAAAAAUAUUUGAGGCAUCUAAUUGAGUUUAAAAAAUUUGACAAACACUAUGUUCUAAGAAAUAUUGAAAUUUCAACAUGACAAUUAAUUAGGUAAAUGGUUUUGGAUUGAAUUGAAUUUUUACAAAAAUGAUUUAUGAAUCAAGACUUAUAAACUAUAUAGCUCGGAUCGUUGAAGCUUGAUGUGUUGUGGAUUUCACAACUAAUCUCCAAUUUUUUUUUAUAAAUAAUGUGGACCCCUUCUGAAGGGGCUUGGUCAGGUCAGAGGCAAAACCCGACUAUGCCUCGGCUACUGCUAGCAAGAGCUGGUGGUAGUACUGUAAUCUGUAGUCCCUUUCAUAUUUAUGGAAGGAUUGCUUGAGGAGGAGGAGGAGGAUCUUGGAAUCAGCUGGAAAAUGAUUGUGAUGUGGACGGUUGAAUUAUUGAAUUUGCAUGCAUGCAUGUAUACGAAAUAAUAUUGCUUCGUCACGACACUUACAAAAUGCUAUUAUAUAGUACAUAUUUUUAUUUCUCGAAGAAGUUGAAGAUAAAGCUGCUGCAGGAGGGACGAAGGGAUAUCUUAUGUAAGCAUGAAAGAGAUGAGAAUACAUGUGGAUUGAUUGUCCGUAGUUGAAUCUACAUGUGCAUGUAAUCUUUCCCACAUGCGGUCGAUCGAGCUUCAUAAAAUUUAAAAUAAAAAGAGACAACAAAGAAAAGUGGGUAUAUAUGUCUCCAUACAUAGAUAUAGUGUGUAUACAUGAACAAGUGGGUAUGCUUGUACGGUUGUCGCAUCUGCCUAUGAAGGUGCACGGUGCACUUUCCCAUCUAAAUAAAUUGUAAUCACAAAUCAAA